rnacentral:lncRNA from 1 species
GCUACAAAGAUCCAGGGAAGUUCCUGCCUCAUCCCCUCUGGAGUGGAACCAUGCAAGGACGGUCACGUUUACCACCCUCCCCGUGCUCCCAGAAACAGCCUAGGGAGAGGUCUUCUUGUCCCCUCUGUAGGUGAGGAGGGGCAGCCAGCAUUCACACCCUCACCAAAGGGCCGCCUCUUUGUACCACACGCUGACUUAGGCAGGCAAAGCCAGAUGAAAGGCCCAGUAACCCCCUUCUGUAAAGAAGGGUCUCUUAUAGAAGACCCUCGGUCUCCCCUUUAUAGAGAGGGAGACCGAGGGUCAGAGUGAACACCUAGCCACAUGGCGACAGAGCCGUGAUGCGUGCCUGGUCCUCCCCCUCAUCCGCGAUGCCACUGAUGCAGUGGUGCCAUGCUGGCCUGCGGGGCUUCCCGGGGAUCUGCUCUCCGCCUCCUCCCAGGAGCCUGCUGAUGAGGUGCUUGCACCCAUGUCCUACCUGCCCCUCCAGACGUGCACUCUGCCUGCUCUGUGUCCAGGGCCAACCCAUGGGGGCUGCAUUUGGGGCUGCUCCCCUCUGGCUCCGGGCUGGCUCCAGCCAGUGAGGAGCCCAGCAUGGGAGGGAGAUGGGAGGGAGGGUCCCUGGGUGGUUGUGUCUUCCACUGAAGGUCUCGGUCCAGUCCAGUGGCCCUCUCCACACAGCCCACUCCAGGCUGGGAGCGGCUCCCCUCCUCCCUCGCUCAGGCGUGGAGGGAGUGGGGAAUCACUCGAGACACCCUGGCCCACACCGCAGCAUGGUCCCCUCAGGAAACUCCUGAUGACCCUGAGCUGAAAAGGACCAUCUUCUCUGCCAAACCCUGCUACUUACUCCCAUCCUACAGGCACGGAAACUGAGGGACGGUGCGCCCAGCGCAGUGACUCACGCCUGUAAUCCCAGCAUUUUGAGAGGCCAAGGCGGGUGGAUCAGGUCAGGAGUUCAAGACCAGCCUGGCCAACAUGGUGAAACCCUGUCUCUACUAGAAAUACAAAAAAUUACCGGGCGUGGUGUGGUGGCGGGUGCCUGUAAUCCCAGCUACUUGGGAGAGUCACUUGAACUCAGGAGGUAGAGGCUGCAGUGAGCUGAGAUCGCGCCACUGCACUCCAGCCUGGGUGACAGAAUGGGACUCUGUCUCAAAAAAAA